GGGUUGUGAGGUUAAGCGACUAAGCGUACACGGUGGAUGCCCUGGCAGUCAGAGGCGAUGAAGGGCGUACUAAUCUGCGAUAAGCGCCGGUAAGGUGAUAUGAACCGUUAUAACCGGCGAUACCCGAAUGGGGAAACCCAGUGUGAUUCGUCACACUAUCAUUAACUGAAUCCAUAGGUUAAUGAGGCGAACCGGGGGAACUGAAACAUCUAAGUACCCCGAGGAAAAGAAAUCAACCGAGAUUCCCCCAGUAGCGGCGAGCGAACGGGGAGGAGCCCAGAGCCUGAAUCAGCAUGUGUGUUAGUGGAAGCGUCUGGAAAGGCGCGCGAUACAGGGUGACAGCCCCGUACACAAAAGCGCAUGUGCUGUGAGCUCGAUGAGUAGGGCGGGACACGUGGUAUCCUGUCUGAAUAUGGGGGGACCAUCCUCCAAGGCUAAAUACUCCUGACUGACCGAUAGUGAACCAGUACCGUGAGGGAAAGGCGAAAAGAACCCCGGCGAGGGGAGUGAAAAAGAACCUGAAACCGUGUACGUACAAGCAGUGGGAGCACCCUUUGGGUGUGACUGCGUACCUUUUGUAUAAUGGGUCAGCGACUUAUAUUCUGUAGCAAGGUUAACCGAAUAGGGGAGCCGGAGGGAAACCGAGUCUUAACCGGGCGUUAAGUUGCAGGGUAUAGACCCGAAACCCGGUGAUCUAGCCAUGGGCAGGUUGAAGGUUGGGUAACACUAACUGGAGGACCGAACCGACUAAUGUUGAAAAAUUAGCGGAUGACCUGUGGCUGGGGGUGAAAGGCCAAUCAAACCGGGAGAUAGCUGGUUCUCCCCGAAAGCUAUUUAGGUAGCGCCUCGUGAAUUCAUCUCCGGGGGUAGAGCACUGUUUCGGCUAGGGGGCCAUCCCGGCUUACCAACCCGAUGCAAACUGCGAAUACCGGAGAAUGUUAUCACGGGAGACACACGGCGGGUGCUAACGUCCGUCGUGAAGAGGGAAACAACCCAGACCGCCAGCUAAGGUCCCAAAGUCAUGGUUAAGUGGGAAACGAUGUGGGAAGGCCCAGACAGCCAGGAUGUUGGCUUAGAAGCAGCCAUCAUUUAAAGAAAGCGUAAUAGCUCACUGGUCGAGUCGGCCUGCGCGGAAGAUGUAACGGGGCUAAACCAUGCACCGAAGCUGCGGCAGCGACACUGUGUGUUGUUGGGUAGGGGAGCGUUCUGUAAGCCUGUGAAGGUGUGUCGUGAGGCAUGCUGGAGGUAUCAGAAGUGCGAAUGCUGACAUAAGUAACGAUAAAGCGGGUGAAAAGCCCGCUCGCCGGAAGACCAAGGGUUCCUGUCCAACGUUAAUCGGGGCAGGGUGAGUCGACCCCUAAGGCGAGGCCGAAAGGCGUAGUCGAUGGGAAACGGGUUAAUAUUCCCGUACUUGGUGUUACUGCGAAGGGGGGACGGAGAAGGCUAUGUUGGCCGGGCGACGGUUGUCCCGGUUUAAGCGUGUAGGUGUGUGUUCCAGGUAAAUCCGGUUCACUUUAACACUGAGGCGUGACGACGAGGCACUACGGUGCUGAAGCAACAAAUGCCCUGCUUCCAGGAAAAGCCUCUAAGCAUCAGGUAACAUCAAAUCGUACCCCAAACCGACACAGGUGGUCAGGUAGAGAAUACCAAGGCGCUUGAGAGAACUCGGGUGAAGGAACUAGGCAAAAUGGUGCCGUAACUUCGGGAGAAGGCACGCUGACACGUAGGUGAAGUGAUUUACUCAUGGAGCUGAAGUCAGUCGAAGAUACCAGCUGGCUGCAACUGUUUAUUAAAAACACAGCACUGUGCAAACACGAAAGUGGACGUAUACGGUGUGACGCCUGCCCGGUGCCGGAAGGUUAAUUGAUGGGGUCAGCGCAAGCGAAGCUCCUGAUCGAAGCCCCGGUAAACGGCGGCCGUAACUAUAACGGUCCUAAGGUAGCGAAAUUCCUUGUCGGGUAAGUUCCGACCUGCACGAAUGGCGUAAUGAUGGCCAGGCUGUCUCCACCCGAGACUCAGUGAAAUUGAACUCGCUGUGAAGAUGCAGUGUACCCGCGGCAAGACGGAAAGACCCCGUGAACCUUUACUAUAGCUUGACACUGAACAUUGAGCCUUGAUGUGUAGGAUAGGUGGGAGGCUUUGAAGUGUGGACGCCAGUCUGCAUGGAGCCGACCUUGAAAUACCACCCUUUAAUGUUUGAUGUUCUAACGUGGACCCGUUACCCGGGUUGCGGACAGUGUCUGGUGGGUAGUUUGACUGGGGCGGUCUCCUCCUAAAGAGUAACGGAGGAGCACGAAGGUUGGCUAAUCCUGGUCGGACAUCAGGAGGUUAGUGCAAUGGCAUAAGCCAGCUUGACUGCGAGCGUGACGGCGCGAGCAGGUGCGAAAGCAGGUCAUAGUGAUCCGGUGGUUCUGAAUGGAAGGGCCAUCGCUCAACGGAUAAAAGGUACUCCGGGGAUAACAGGCUGAUACCGCCCAAGAGUUCAUAUCGACGGCGGUGUUUGGCACCUCGAUGUCGGCUCAUCACAUCCUGGGGCUGAAGUAGGUCCCAAGGGUAUGGCUGUUCGCCAUUUAAAGUGGUACGCGAGCUGGGUUUAGAACGUCGUGAGACAGUUCGGUCCCUAUCUGCCGUGGGCGCUGGAGAACUGAGGGGGGCUGCUCCUAGUACGAGAGGACCGGAGUGGACGCAUCACUGGUGUUCGGGUUGUCAUGCCAAUGGCACUGCCCGGUAGCUAAAUGCGGAAGAGAUAAGUGCUGAAA
rnacentral:rRNA from 1 species